AGUCGAUUCGGCCCAGACGAACGCUGGCGGAUGCUUUUACACAUGCAAGUCGAACGGCAGCAUUGACUUCGGUCUGGUGGCGAGUGGCGAACGGUGAGAAAUGGUCGUGGAACGCUCUAGUAGCGGGGGAUAACUACGCGAAAGCGUAGCUAAGGUCGGAAGAGUGGCCUCGGGGAAAGCGGGGACCUUCGGGCCUCGCACCAUUAGAGCGGCCGAUAUCGGAUUAGCUAGUUGGUGGGGUAACGGCUCACCAUGGCGACGAUCCGUAGCUGGUUUGAGAGGACGACCAGCCACACUGGGACUGAGACACGGCCCAGACUCCUACGGGAGGCAGCAGUGGGGUAAUGGAUAAUGGGGAACUCGAUCCAGCCAUCCUCGCGUGUAUAUUGAAGGGCCUUCGGGUUGUGUGGGCAACUUUUGGCAGGAAAGAAACGGCACGGGAUAAUACCCCUGUGCAACUGACGGUACCUGCAGAAUAAGCACCGGCUAACCACGUGCCAGCAGCCGCGGUAAUACGUAGGGUGCAAGCGUUAAUCGGAAUUACUGGGCGUAAAGCGUGCGCAGGCGGUUCGAAAGAAAGAUGUGAAAUCCCAGAGCUUAACUUCUUUGGAACUGCAUUUUUAACUACCGAAUAGAGAAAUGGAGUAGGUAAAUCUCGCCAGGGCAGGGAAAUGCGUAGAUAUGCGGAGAACACCGAUGGCGAAGGCAGCCUCUGUGGAUAACACUGACGCUCAUAAUAAAGCGUGGGGAGCAAACAGGAUUAGAUACCCGUACCACGCCCUAAACGAUGUCAACUAGCUGUUAGCCCGCCGGCAGCAGGUAAAGUUAAUCGCGGUGAAGUUGACCGCCUGGGGAGUACGGUCUUUAGAUAAACUCCAGCGACUGACGGGACCGCACAAAGUUAUGAUGACGUGGAUUAGUUCGGAUGCAACGCGAAAACCUUACCUACCCUUGACAUGUCUGGAAUCCCGAAGAGAUUUGGGAGUGCUCGCAAGGAGAACCGGAACACAGGUGCUGCAUGGCUGUCGUCAGCUCGUGUCGUGAGAUGUUGGGUUAAGUCCCGCAACGAGCGCAACCCUUGUCAUUAGUUGCUGAAAGGGCACUCUAAUGAGACUGCCGGUGACAAACCGGAGGAAGGUGGGGAUGACGUCAAGUCCUCAUGGCCCUUGCGGUGGUGGCUUCACAAUGUCACACAAUGGCUCGGGACAGAGGGUCGCCAACCCGCGAGGUAUUUUCAAUCCAGAAACCCGAUCGUAGUCUGAUCGGCUCGCACCUGAUCGCGAAGUCGGAAUCGCUAGUAAUCGCGGAUCAGCAUGUCGCGGUGAAUACGCCCCGUCUUGCACCCGUCACACCAUGGGAGUGGGUUUUACCAGAAGUAGUUAGGCCUAACCGUAAGGGAGGGCGAUUACCACGGUAGGAUUCAUGACUGGGUGAAGUCGUAACAAGGUAA
rnacentral:rRNA from 1 species